AGAGAACCUUGAUUUUGAAGGCAGCAUCACACUGCUUAACUGAGGGCUGGAGAUCAUGGUUUGCCAAGUCAGGGAGAAGCUGCAGGUUUUUUGUUGAUUUCUCACUUUGCUCCAGAGCUCCUAACAGAGAACACUCGCAAUCCAAUAAAUAAUACAAAUCCAAAGUGUAUUUCAGGAAUCCUCAACGUGGGUCUGGGAGUAGACUUCAGGGGACACUUCAAAUUGCAUGUCUUUCCUUUCCGAGUGUGAAGAACAGAGGAACCACCUGAUCUUGCCCAAAGGUCAUCGCUGUGUACUGGUGAUGAAACACUCCGGAGCCGGAGCCAGCCCAACACAGGACUACCCCUUUUAGGGGCAGUCCUGAAAGGACAAGAAAGCCUCCUGGUCCUGACACCAGACACUACACAAAGGCGUUGAAUAUCGGUGAGCAGAUUCUGAGAAAGUGAUGUACCCAGUAUUUGUACUUCUGAAAUACACAGUGCUGCUUCAACAAAAUGAAUAAACAAUACCUAGCUCCCUAUCUCUCCCUCUCUAUCAUCUUUGAAUAGAGUAGGCAUUCUCGAAGAUACUGAACUUUUUUCACACUUCAGAGGAUCUUGUUUGAUGUAUCAUUAUGACCAACACCAUCUAUUCUGGGGGGACUAGCACAGAAUGAAAACGUAGAGACCCUUGUUUAAAAAGCAGGAACAAAUGCAGUUAAAACCAUCUAUGAGGCUUUUUCUUUUCUUUUGGGGUCACCCCACUUAUGCUGUUGUUUUUUUUUUUGAAAAUUUCCCAUGUAACAUGAUUUUUAAAAAAUCUUUAAAAAAUUAUAAUGUUGUUCAAGUACAGUUGUCUCCAUUUCCCCCUUGCCUGUCCCCAACUCUCCCCAUGGUCUUACCCCUCUUUUGGCUUCUCUAUGUGU